rnacentral:rRNA from 1 species
GCGGCGGACGGGUGAGUAAUACAUGGGUAAUCUAUGUUUGAGUUCGGGAUAACCCCGCGAAAGUGGGGCUAAUACCGGAUAAGACCACGUAACCCAGGUUACGCGGUAAAAGGUGGCUUAUACUUUCGGGUUUAGGCUAUCACUUGAGAAUGAGCCCAUGGCCUAUCAGCUUGUUGGUGAGGUAAAAGCUCACCAAGGCUAUGACGGGUAGCUGGUCUAAGAGGACGGCCAGCCACACUGGGACUGAGACACGGCCCAGACUCCUACGGGAGGCAGCAGUGGGGAAUACUGGGCAAUGGGCGAAAGCCUGACCCAGCGACGCCAUGUGGGUGAUGAAGGCCUUCGGGUUGUAAAGCCCUGUUAGGUGGGAAGAAGGGUCCAGAGGUGAAUAAUCUUUGGAUUUUGACGGUACCGCCGAAGAAAGCACCGGCUAACUCCGUGCCAGCAGCCGCGGUAAUACGGAGGGUGCAAGCGUUGUUCGGAAUUACUGGGCGUAAAGGGCGUGUAGGCGGUUGUGUAAGUCAGACGUGAAAUCCUUCGGCUCAACUGGAGAACUGCGUCUGAAACUGCAUGACUAGAGUGCAGAAGAGGGAAACGGAAUUCCUGGUGUAGAGGUGAAAUUUGUAGAUAUCAGGAGGAACACCGGUGGCGAAGGCGGUUUCCUGGUCUGACACUGACGCUGAGGCGCGAAAGCGUGGGGAGCAAACAGGAUUAGAUGCCCUGGUAGUCCACGCCGUAAACGGUGAAUACUGGGUGUGGGAGGCGUAAUGCCUUCUGUGCCGAAGCUAACGCGUUAAGUAUUCCGCCUGGGGAGUACGGCCGCAAGGUUGAAACUCAAAGGAAUUGACGGGGGCC